rnacentral:rRNA from 1 species
CAGAUUGAACGCGGGCGGCGUGCCUAACACAUGCAAGUCGAGCGGUAACAGGUGUAGCAAUACAUGCUGACGAGCGGCGAACGGGUGAGUAAUGCUUUGGAAUCUUCCCAGUAGUGGGGAAUAACCAGUCGAAAGAUUGGCUAAUACCGCAUACGUCCGAGAGGGGAAAGCCGGGGAUCGUAAGACCUGGCGCUAUUGGAUGAGCCAAAGUCGGAUUAGCUAGUUGGUGAGGUAAUGGCUCACCAAGGCGACAAUCCGUAGCUGGUCUGAGAGGACGACCAGCCACACCGGAACUGAGACACGGUCCGGACUCCUACGGGAGGCAGCAGUGGGGAAUAUUGGACAAUGGGGGAAACCCUGAUCCAGCGACGCCGCGUGUGUGAAGAAGGCCUGCGGGUUGUAAAGCACUUUUAGUGGGGACAAAAAGUCACGGGCUAAUACCUUGUGAUCUUGAUUUAACCUACAGAAAAAGCACCGGCUAACUCUGUGCCAGCAGCCGCGGUAAUACAGAGGGUGCGAGCGUUAAUCGGAAUUACUGGGCGUAAAGCGCGCGUAGACGGUUUUGUAAGUCGGAUGUGAAAUCCCCGGGCUCAACCUGGGAACUGCAUUCGAUACUGCUUGGCUAGAGUACGGUAGAGGGAAGCGGAAUUUCCGGUGUAGCGGUGAAAUGCGUAGAUAUCGGAAGGAACACCAGUGGCGAAAGCGGCUUCCUGGACCAGUACUGACGUUCAUGUGCGAAAGCGUGGGGAGCAAACAGGAUUAGAUACCCUGGUAGUCCACGCCAUAAACGAUGACAACUAGAUGUUGGGAGGGUCUGCCUCUCGGUGUCGCAGCUAACGCGUUAAGUUGUCCGCCUGGGGAG